GCCAAUGCUCUCUGAUUGCUGGAACUCAUUUUACUGAGGUAUGUCGUUUUGCGGGAAGCAGAAAAUGUUUGAUCAGCUGAUAGAAUUUUGGUGUUUACAUACUAGGAAAUGUUGUUGAGCUUUACCACAGCAACCCAUCAGAAGUUUGAAGGUGUUUUCUGAAUUAUUUUGAUUACAAUCUAGUGGUGGCUUUUGUUAAUUUUGUGUAAUCAGUGGGUUUCCAGGUGAAACUUUUUUUCUAGUUCUGUGUGGAGUUUAAACUUGUUUACUAUUUGCUUUCUUUGCUGCUCUUUGUUUAGUAAGGUUUUCCUGCUAAUUCUUGUAUCAUACAUUCUUUUUUGAUGUUGCGGGCAAGUGGGGAUUUGAACUUGGGACCUUAUCGAACAUAAUAGAUGAGAAAAACCACUAGACUUAUAGUGACUUAGUAGUAUUUCCUGUAAAGAUUGUUUACUCCAAUUGAUUUACAUAUGUUAAUUUUCUGCACACAUUAUCUUAAUAGUUUGAUGAUAGAAUUCUAAAGAAAGUUUUUUUAUUAUAAUUUAUCUUAUCCUUUAAAGAAUGGUGGUUGAUAUGAUUAUUGAAAAGGAGAAGGUAAAAGGAAUGGUGCUUGAUAUGAUUCAUUUGCGUAGGUUCUCUUUGACUUAUGUUACAUGGCUUUGUCAUAGACUGAAGUGUUAAUUUUUCAGGUGCAUAUAAAGGGGCUCAGGGUCAAGAAGAUGGAGAUAUAGUUGUGGGUUUCUCUCUGAAGAGUCUUCUGAGAUAAUGUUUUCUAUUCUGAAAUGGAAAUGCUCAUGGUCUAUGAUAUCGGCGGUUGCUUCUAUUGUGGGAUUGGUUUCACUAAUGUUGGAUUCAAAAGUUCAUCUCCUCUUCUUUCCAUUAGUUCCUUCUUUCGAGUACUUUAGUCAAACUCAUAACUCUUGUGUCCCAAUCAAUGCUUCCACUGAAGCAAUUACGGAUCAUUUUAGGGGAAAUUUAGAACCUCCUAUUGACUUAGAAAAUCAUUUUCCAGCUGACUUGCACAAGGCAGUUGUAUUUCUUGGAGCACCAUGGAAGGCAGAGAUUGGCCGGUGGCUUGCUGGUUGUGGCUCAAUUUCUAAUAAAGUCAACAUUGUGGAGUUAAUAGGUGGGAGUGGCUGCAAAAAUGACUGCAGUGGUCGAGGUUUUUGUAAUUGUGAAUUGGGACAAUGUCGGUGCUUUCAUGGAUAUAGUGCUUCUCCUUGGUUAUAUUUUGUAACCAUACUACCACAGCAGAUAGCAGGCAUAGUGAGAAACUUGGUUUGCAUUAUAAUAUGACGAGUACAGCAGUAGUUAUGGAUGCUAGGAUAUGAAUGUCUUGUGAAAACAGAAGAACAAAUGGGAUAUAAGUAUGGCGAGGCUUGCUUUCGUUUAUGUUUCUAGUAUCAUGUACCAUUUAGACUUAAAUUUUUGUUUUAUUUCGACAUGUUAUGCAUAGAAAUACUUGAGAUGUUGUUAAGUAAUUUGAGCAUCAAUAUUAAUCAAAAUUUAUUUACUUA